AACGAACGCUGGCGGCAUGCCUAACACAUGCAAGUCGAACGAGACCUUCGGGUCUAGUGGCGCAGGGGUGCGUAACGCGUGGGAACCUGCCCUUAGGUUCGGAAUAACUCCGCGAAAGGGGUGCUAAUCCCGGAUAAUGUCUUCGGACCAAAGAUUUAUCGCCUUUGGAUGGGCCCGCGUUGGAUUAGCUAGUUGGUAGGGUAAAAGCCUACCAAGGCGACGAUCCAUAGCUGGUCUGAGAGGAUGAUCAGCCACACUGGGACUGAGACACGGCCCAGACUCCUACGGGAGGCAGCAGUGGGGAAUAUUGGACAAUGGGCGAAAGCCUGAUCCAGCAAUGCCGCGUGAGUGAUGAAGGCCUUAGGGUUGUAAAGCUCUUUUACCCGGGAUGAUAAUGACAGUACCGGGAGAAUAAGCUCCGGCUAACUCCGUG
rnacentral:rRNA from 1 species